UUAACAAAGAUUAAUAUAUAAUAUAUCGCGAAGGGUGUUGAGCUAAUUUAUCAAAUAUUAUAGUAUAUGGUCCUAUAUGUAGCAUUAUAUAGAGUAUAUGAUUAAUUAGGGGUGAAAGGCCUCCCAAAAUAUCCGAUAUCUUGUUUUUUAGGAAAACUAUUAAGUAGGUAAUUCAGCUUUGAAGUGGCGAGAUUUCAAAGUGGUACGAAACUAAGGAUUAAUAGGGUAAAUUGUUUAACAAUAAUUACUUUCCCCAUUCUAAUAUUUAUUAUCUGGUUUUUGUACCUAUUACUAGGAUGUAUUUAAUAAUUAAGUAGAAUAAUAUUACUGUUAAUAUAAGUAUUAUAUAAUAAAUUUAGAGUAGGAACUCGGCAAACGUGUUACUCAACUGUUUACCAAAAACAUAGCCAGGUGUUUACAUACUUGGUUACUUCUGCUCAAUGGUAAGCUAAAUAGCCGCAGUACCCUGACUGUGCAAAGGUAGCAUAAUCAUUUGGCUUAUAAUUGAAGUCUGGCAUGAAAGAACUUAUGGGUAGCAACUGUCUUCUAUGAACCCUUAGAAUUUACUUAGUAGGUGAAAAUUCCUACGGCUUAAUAAUAGACGAGAAGACCCUAGAAAUUUUAAUAUAAAAGUAUUUUACUUACCUUACUAUUUUGUUGGGGCGACGGAAUAACAGUUAACUUAUUUUACUUAAUUUGCACUACUUGCUGUGAAAAAUUAAAUUACUCUAGGGAUAACAGCAUAAUUUACUAAAGUUUGUGACCUCGAUGUUGGACUAGGGUUUUUAAUAAUCAGAAGUUAUUAAACUAGGCUCUGUUCGAGCUUUAUUUCCUACAUGAUCUGAGUUCAGACCGG
rnacentral:rRNA from 1 species